UCUUCUCGAAUCUGCGAACGGCUCCGCAUACUGGUCAUAAUCAUUAGCAGCGUUUCUCGUGUCUGAUGGAAGCCAAUGUCGGUGUAAAAAACUGCAUGCUCUGGAGUCAUGAGGUAUAUGGAUAUCCAUGGCAAUUCUGUGGCUAAUACAUGAAACUUAUAAACUGGUCCACCUGCACAGGGGGGGGCCUUUUCCCCACCUCCUUUUCUCUUUCGGAUUAGGGGGUGGGGAGAGGUCCAUCAAAAUCGAACCUGCUUGGUGGGCCGGGGAGUGUGAGGUUCAAAACUGGCUUGGUUACAUCGGGACAGAACGCACAUCCUUUACCCUGCUCCGUGUCCUCUCCGUAAGGGGGGGAUCCGGGCGCACUGGGGAGGUACCUUCAUCUGCACAAUCUUGCGAACCCAUGGGUUUCUCUUUCCCCAUCUUCCUUCCCAGGAAGGAGGGGAUUGAGGUUCCUGAGGGAUCCUUGGGAGUCGGGUGGAGGUGCCCCCUCGGUGGGUCACUGUUCGAGUUUCCAACCUAUCAACUAGAAUGUGGCGUAAUGGAUUGCUACGGUUACGACGGGUACAGAGGAUUAGGGUUCGAUCCUGGAGAGUGGGCCUGAGAGAUU
rnacentral:rRNA from 1 species